rnacentral:rRNA from 1 species
AUUGAACGCUGGCGGCAGGCCUAACACAUGCAAGUCGAGCGAGCGGCGGACGGGUGAGUAAUGUCUGGGAAACUGCCUGAUGGAGGGGGCUAACUACUGGAAACGGUAGCUAAUACCGCAUACCAUCAGAUGUGCCCAGAUGGGAUUAGCUAGUCGGUGGGUUAACGGCUCACCUAGGCGACGGUCCCUAGCUGGUCUGAGAGGAUGACCCGCAACACUGGAACUGAGACACGGUCCAGACUCCUACGGGAGGCAGCAGUGGGGAAUAUUGCACAAUGGGCGCAAGCCUGAUGCAGCCAUGCCGCGUGUGUGAAGAAGGCCGUCGGGUUGUAAAGCACUUGCAGCGGGGAGGCGUUACCCGCAGAAGAAGCACCGGCUAACUCCGUGCCAGCAGCCGCGGUAAUAC